rnacentral:lncRNA from 1 species
GCCUAGCCUAAGGUGCCACAGAUAUUUAUGGCUAAUUUUAUCUCUAAGUCUCUGAGACCCUAUGGCAUUCACAGUUUACUCAUUAAUAUUGACACUUGCAUUCAUAUACAAAUGAUAAAGACCAUCAAUCAAGAAAGCACAUGUAACAACUUUAUUUUCAAAAUAAAUUGAAUACAUAUCUUUAAUAAAAUAAAAAUUAUAAUUAUCCUGUGCCAGCACAGUUAUAAAAAUUAAAUUCUUACUAGCUACAGGUACAUAAUAACAGUCUUU